GUGUCCUACGGGGGGCAGCAGUGGGGAAUAUUGGGCAAUGGGCGCAAGCCUGACCCAGCAACGCCGCGUGAAGGAAGAAGGCCUUCGGGUUGUAAACUUCUUUUCUUGGGGACGAAGAAAGUGACGGUACCCAAGGAAUAAGCCACGGCUAACUACGUGCCAGCAGCCGCGGUAAUACGUAGGUGGCAAGCGUUAUCCGGAUUUAUUGGGUGUAAAGGGCGUGUAGGCGGGAUUGCAAGUCAGAUGUGAAGACCACGGGCUCAACCUGUGGCCUGCAUUUGAAACUGUAGUUCUUGAGGUCUGGG
rnacentral:rRNA from 1 species